rnacentral:rRNA from 1 species
GUGGAUUAGAUACCCUGGUAGUCCAUGCCGUAAACGUUGGGCACUAGGUGUGGGGGACAUUCCACGUUUUCCGCGCCGUAGCUAACGCAUUAAGUGCCCCGCCUGGGGAGUACGGCCGCAAGGCUAAAACUCAAAGGAAUUGACGGGGGCCCGCACAAGCGGCGGAGCAUGCGGAUUAAUUCGAUGCAACGCGAAGAACCUUACCAAGGCUUGACAUGAACCGGAAAGACCUGGAAACAGGUCCCCCACUUGUGGUCGGUUUACAGGUGGUGCACGGUUGUCGACAGCU